rnacentral:rRNA from 1 species
UGCCAGCAGCCGCGGUAAUACGAGGGGUGCUAGCGUUGUUCGGAAUUAUUGGGCGUAAAGCGUGCGUAGGCGGUUUAAUAAGUCAGCUGUGAAAGCCCAGGGCUCAACUUUGGAAUUGCAGUUGAAACUGUUAGGCUAGAGUAUGGAGCGGGAUAGUGGAAUUCCUAGUGUAGGGGUGAAAUCCGUAGAUAUUAGGAGGAACACCGGUGGCGAAAGCGACUAUCUGGGACGGAACUGACGCUGAUGAACGAAAGCUAGGGUAUCAAACGGGAUUAGAUA